AACUUAGGUGGUCUAGUGGUUUGAGUACCCACCUCUGAUGCGGGAGGUCGUGGGUUCGAUCCUCGGUCUAGUCA